AUUGAGUACGGUGAGUGUAGAGAUAAAAUUUUUUGAUACCACUUAGGAACUGGUAACAGCGAAGGCUACCUUCAAAGUAAAAAACUGACGUUAAGGGACGAAGGCUUGUAACAAAUAAUAGGAUUAGAUACCCUAGUAUUUUGAGCAGAAAAUGAUGAGUGUCAUAUACAAGAUAAAUGUUUUUGUGUAUAAAUGAAAGUGUAAGCACUCCACCUCAAGAGUAACGUGGCAACACGGGAACUGAAAUCAUUAGACCGUUUCUGAAACUCGUAGUGAAGUAUGUUGUUUAAUUUGAUGGUCCUCAAAUAACCUUACCACAAUUUGUAUAACUAUUGUACGAUAGUUACAAGCGUUGCACGGCUGUCUUCAGUCAAUGUUGUGAAACUUUGGUUAGAUCCAUUUAAUUGACGUAAACCCUUACUUUAAUUAUUUUAAAGUAGUUCGCCGCUAUAUUGGUAGUGAUAUAAGGGACUAGGACAAGUCAUCAU
rnacentral:rRNA from 1 species